AAUGAAUAUCUUUCAGGGCGGAUGGAGUAGAGUUAGCCUCGUCCACUAGCUACCUUUGGUCGGCUCUACUUAUUGAGACUCACAACAGAUGACGCCCAAAGAGAUUAUCCAAGGCUCUGAGGCGCUAUAUAAUAAGGUAACUAGUACAAAUCAAGACUACCCUGGGUACCAGAGCCUCGUCACGGCAUUUUGGCUGAGCGUCACUGGACGAGAGAAGUCUGGAGGCUCCAGGGUAAAAUCAAGACGUGGACGUCUUGAUUUGGCACGAGGCUAGGGUUAAUUAAGCCCUCUAUCCAUUGGAGGCCUGUGUAACAACCGAAACAAUGUUCUUCGCUGUAUGAUUAUUUCGACCAAAGUGUUUGUAGUGGCUUAUCACGCAAGCAGUCAGAAUUUGCGUCAAUGUGACAUUGCGGAGCAGUAGUCUGAUAAAAGUACACCGUAUUCAGGAAAAGUUCUUCCCUUCUCAUCACCAUUCUUCUGUCAGUUUUAUAUAACGCAGCUCGAUUCCGAAAUGAGGGCACGUUAGGGGAAAAUGGAUAUGAAAAAUGUAGAUAUGACUCACCAGUAAGGGCUGACGCUAGGAGGAUACCAACGAACGCAGUCAAACAUACUCUUCGCAACAUGGAGAUGCGAUUAAAUUCAGAUGAUGGAGGAUACAAAACCAGGCCAAAUCUGCCUCCACAUCAAGAAAGCAAUGCCGUCUCGUGGUAUGGCAGAUUCUUGUGUUCGUGUAUGGGUGAUGGGCGGCAAAGACACAAGAGUAGACUGUCUGGUGCUUUCUUGACAGAGAAGGCAGUAAUGUGCAGUGGCGCCGUCAUUAAAGACGACCUAAGAAAACGGCAACAUUCUAUCUCUUUUUAGGAAAGCACGCUUUAGUGAAUUUGCGAGAGAUGUAAUAUUUGCAGCACAAUCUAAAGUACAAGACAUCGACUUAAACGUAGUGACAUAUUUUCCAAGAAAACGAGAGGCAGAGGCGGUGGUAAUACACGAUGCCAGUUGCCCCUCACUCAUCAAGAUGAGUCGAGCGUGGCUUGUAUCGUCUAGGCGGCUCGUCAACAAUCAUCGUCAUCGAGGCGUGUUCACGGAGAAGAGCGACGAGAAAGUCGUGCUUAAUUCGCAUGGUGUUACUCGCGCCUUGACUCGAUAAUCAGCCGUUUGCAUAUCCAUGAGGGCGCUCGGUAUGAUUGGAUAUUUUCUUUUCAAUGCUAGGCUAUUUUAAAAUUGACGAAGUUCUCUGGGCAUGUUAUUUUCUCACAGAUCAAAUGUUGGCACAGUUGUUAAGGGUAAUUCCCACCGCAUCUCUCUGGAACGUCCGUGACGAGCCGUUUGAGCCCAUGAUAUCAAAGUAAUGGAUUAAACUGUUGAACUUGUGUAUAGUCGUUCCCUAAACGAUGACCUUAUUAUAAAAUGAAGCGGUCCAGCUCAAAUUAUCGCGCAUUACUCUAAUAAAACGUAUUUUGCUGCUAUCUAAGCCUCUGUAUAUUUUAAGAAUUUGUGAAAUCUCAAGCUGAAUGUUAUUAUAAAGAAGUUCUUAUAAAAAUAAAGAUUGUAAUUCUC